AUAUUCUUCCUCUUGUGUUGGCUAGCGUGUGUGUGAAAUUAGAUAAUGAUUUUUAUUAUCAUUUAUCAAAGAAAAGAUUUGCAAAUUUUGCAGUUUGCGCAAUAUGAAGUCACAGUUAUUGUCGGAUUGUCUAAAUACUAUAUAGAUUCAAGAUCAUGAUCAUGGCCUAGUAUAUUGUAUAAAUUAAAAACUAUAUUUCCUGUUGUAAAGUUACCAAUAUAUUGACUUAAGUUCAGCUAAGGGAGCAAGAUGAUGUUUCGAGUCACUGCACUUUAGACUGUUACUAUGAUAUUGCAAGCGUCAAUAUAGAUACCAUUAAGCUCUGUUGUAGUUGUUUCAUAGAGUAAUUCUCUAAGAGUUGUUUGCAAUCAUGGUCAGAGUUGAUAUACUAUUCCGCAUUUUUGUGUACCUUACUACAGCAGUAUGAAUAACAAAUGAAAAUCAUCUUAGUUUUAUUAUUAUUAGUAUUAUUUGGGUAUAGUAAAUUAAUUGUAA